rnacentral:rRNA from 1 species
UACAGAGGUGGCAAGCGUUGUUCGGAAUUACUGGGCGUAAAGGGCGCGUAGGCGGUCCAUCGCGUCGGGAGUGAAAAGCUGGGGCUUAACCCCAGUCCUGCUUUCGAUACGGGUGGACUAGAGGUAGGCAGGGGAGAAUGGAAUUCCUGGUGUAGCGGUGAAAUGCGCAGAUAUCAGGAGGAACACCGGUGGCGAAGGCGGUUCUCUGGGCCUUACCUGACGCUGAGGAGCGAAAGCAUGGGGAGCAAACAGG